GCCUUGGUGGUGAAAUGGUAGACACGCGAGACUCAAAAUCUCGUGCUAAAGAGCGUGGAGGUUCGAGACCUCAAAAUCUCGUGCUAAAGAGCGUGGAGGUUCGAGUCCUCUUCAAGGCA
rnacentral:tRNA from 1 species